rnacentral:rRNA from 1 species
CCCUUAGAUGUUCUGGGCCGCACGCGUGCUACACUGAUGCAUUCAACGAGUCUAAAACCUGGUCUGAUAGGGCUGGGUAAUCUUUUGAAAGUGCAUCGUGAUUGGGAUAGAUGAUUGCAAUUCUUCAUCUUCAACGAGGAAUGCCUAGUAAACGCAAGUCAUCAGCUUGCAUUGAUUACGUCCCUGCCCUUUGUACACACCGCCCGUCGCUCCUACCGAUUGAAUGAUCCGAUGAAUACCAUGGAUUGAGAGUACGAAUAGGUUCGCUUAUUUCUGCUGCUCGAGAAGUGGAGUAAAUCUUAUCAUUUAGAGGAAGGAGAAGUCGUAAC